rnacentral:rRNA from 1 species
CCUACGGGAGGCAGCAGUGAGGAAUAUUGGUCAAUGGACGAGAGUCUGAACCAGCCAAGUAGCGUGAAGGAUGACUGCCCUAUGGGUUGUAAACUUCUUUUAUAAAGGAAUAAAACGAGGCACGUGUGCCUUUUUGCAUGUACUUUAUGCAUAAGGAUCGGCUAAUUCAGUGCCAGCAGCCGCGGUAAUACGGAGGAUCCGAGCGUUAUCCGGAUUUAUUGGGUUUAAAGGGAGCGUAGAUGGGUUGUUAAGUCAGUUGUGAAAGUUUGCGGCUCAACCGUGAAAUUGCAAUUGAUACUGGCAGUCUAGAGUACAGUUGAGGUAGGCGGAAUUCGUGGUGUAGCGGUGAAAUGCUUAGAUAUCACGAAGAACCCCGAUUGCGAAGGCAGCUUACUAAACUGUGACUGACAUUGAUGCUCGAAAGUGUGGGUAUCAAACAGGAUUAGAUACCCUGGUAGUC